GCAGCUCCGUGUUUGGCAGCAGCUCGAGCGAGUAGCGACACCUCUGACCCUGAGAGUCAACGCGUACGAGCCAGUCGUUCACCCUCGUUUGGUCGUUCCCCAAUCCCCAUCCUCCCACCUCCCCGCCUCCGCGUCCGGCGACCUGAUUCCUUGACGACGGCGGCGGCAACUGGCGAGCAGAUCUCAAUCCCCUUCUCAGCCGGCUCUUGGACAGCUGGAGUGUCCGCACCCGCGGCGUGGCGCACCCAUCGGGCGCCGGCAGUUCGGUACUGCUCGGCUGCACCCUGCUCCUCCUCUCUACUUGCUAGGUAGCGAUGGUGAAACAACGGAAGAUGCAGUCUUUUUUUUAAAGGAAAGGGGAUGAUGAAAUAGUUAAAUCUCCAUUACCUCCUUAUGCUCUAUCAUUGGUUCAAUAUAUGGGUGAAAGACAGCAUGAAGAUGCCAAAGAAGGUCAAAUGGAAGAUGAUAUUGGGCAGAAAAAUCAGAUGCAAGAUGAUGAUGUUCUAGUUGGCUACUCACUACUGGAUUAUCCAGGACGCUCUAGUUGGCUACUCACUACUGUUUGGCGUCGUCUGUUCCUUUCUAGUUGGCUACUCAACAAUGAUAUGGUCCUCUAAUUGUCCUUGCAUCCGUUCUACAACUUAGUGGCUUUUUAUGCAUAUGGUGUGUUCUUA